rnacentral:rRNA from 1 species
UCCGGUUGAUCCUGCCGGAGGCCACUGCCCUUGGGGUCCGACUAAGCCAUGCGAGUCAUGGGGCGCCUUGCCCUUUACCGGCGGACGGCUCAGUAACACGUCGGUAACCUACCCUCGGGAGGGGGAUAACCCCGGGAAACUGGGGCUAAUCCCCCGUAGGCCUGAGGUACUGGAAGGUCCUCAGGCCGAAAGGGUCUUUGACCGCCCGAGGAUGGGCCGGCGGCCGAUUAGGUAGUUGGUGGGGUAACGGCCCACCAAGCCGAAGAUCGGUACGGGCCAUGAGAGUGGGAGCCCGGAGAUGGACACUGAGACACGGGUCCAGGCCCUACGGGGCGCAGCAGGCGCGAAACCUCCGCAAUGCUCGAAAGAGCGACGGGGGGACUUUUUUUGUCGUGGCAUCGCCACGGCUUUUCCGGAGUGUAAAGAGCUCCGGGAAUAAGGGCUGGGCAAGGCCGGUGGCAGCCGCCGCGGUAAUACCGGCGGCCCGAGUGGUGGCCGCUAUUAUUGGGCCUAAAGCGUCCGUAGCCGGGCCAGUAAGUCCCUGGCGAAAUCCCACGGCUCAACCGUGGGGCUUGCUGGGGGAUACUGCUGGC